rnacentral:lncRNA from 1 species
ACUAUCAGUAAUGCUUAAUGCCUAAGCAUUUGAAUAAUGUCUGUAUUUCCUUUUAAUUGUCUUUAAUAUAUCUGCACAGAGUACCAGCCAGCCCAGCAUUCUUGUUUCCAAUAUGGUUACACUAGAACCUUAACAGAACCUUGGUCUCAAUGCCAGCCUGGGAUAUAAGAAGCAAUAGGCAAGAGCUGCCUGGAAGGAACACGAUCAGAAGUCCAGUUUUGUGGCAGCAGUCUAAGACUAAAGCACAGAGUGAUAACUUUCAAGAGAAAACCAAACCUAUGCAAGUAGACAAGGUGCAAGGUUCUACAGGCAGGUGAGGAUGGGCAUUCUGGGGCAGGCAGCACUGGGUAGCAGUGCUGCUGGAAAGACUUUCCCCUGGUCAGCUUUCUGCUGUUUUCUGGCACCAAUGACUAUAAGCCUCAGAACCAUCCAAAUACACAGAAAUCUAAAGAUGGGUCAUGCCACUCAGUGAGGCAUGAACAAAGAUAGAAGGAUGGUUUCAUCACUGGGACUAUUGAAAUGGCAUGUAGACGAUGGAGUAAUGUUUCUAAAGGCAUUGCCCAAUUGCUUCCAUAAUGUUAUGAAAUGAGCUGCAGAGUUUGAGAAGCCCUUUCCUUAUGUACUGAGAAGGUUUCCAGAAAGAUGGGAGAAUUCAAGUCUCAGGUUGCUGGAAACAUCAGGAGAAGAGAACAAACCCUUUCUUGAAAAGUUUUCCUCAGGACAAAUGGCUUCUAAGUUAGUUUUGCAAAGAAUUGUAUAAGAAAUGAAGAACUCUUAUAGGAAUGCCAUAGGCAUUUGACAGAAGCACCGUGAACUUCAUUUGGGAAAGAGUGGUUCUAACUGUCAAAGAAGUUAAAGUUCAAACUAGAAGAGGAGUGACCAUCAACACCCCCUGAUGAGGAAGGAAGGCCUGGGCUUGAGAAGGUAA